GUGUUUUGUAUGCGUUUUUAUUAUACUUAUUCCUUAAAAUUCAUUUUGAAGCCAAUAUUAGAUUGGAUCAUUGGAGUGUUCACAGAAAUAAAAGUCAACUAUAACUAAAACUAUAACCUGCCCGAUUUUCAAACUUCACUUUUUCAUUUAAAAUCAAACGAGGGAAAGACUAUUCCAGGAACCUAUGACCUCCUAACGGGUCGGGCCUUUGCAAUUUUAGCAACAAAUUUACCAUUGAAAAUUGCAUCAAUUUUGGACUUAAGUUUGAAUAUCCUAUUAUAAAGGAUGUAUUAAAAGUGGAAGAACGGAACUUUCAAAAUCCUCCCUUUCUCCCUACUACUUACUUUUUGUAAUUUUGAAUACCGGUAGGUCAAAUGUACAUACAUCAGUACAAAGGCCCUUUUCCAAAAAUAAAAAAUUCCUUUCAACCCUCCCCUAUCAAUCUUAAUGGAAUAACCCAAAAACAUAAUUGUGCAUAGGUUCCUGGAAUAGUUAAAAACAACUUUAACAGUUAGUAUAAACAAAAACAUGCCAACAGAUAAAACAGUAUUACUUUAAUCACUAUAAUCAAACAAGGCAAUCAUUGGUUCUUUUUCAAUACUCUGGUUAUUGUCAACAAAUGUAAUAUGACAUUGUGGUUUGUUCAUUGUGACAUUGUGGUUUGUUUAUGACAAUGUCAUUUGUGCAUAUAUUAUCAUUUUCUAGCUGUACUUUAAAAUUAAUAUAAUACAAUGUGGUCAAUUCAGAUGGUUUUUUUUCACUUAAUGCACAAAUAUAUCAUUUUACCAGGUUGAAUUUACAAUGUUACAAUGUAGAAAAAGUAAAAAGAAUUGAAAUUGUUACACUGCAGAAAAUCAGAGUAAAACAGAUCACUUGUAAAAUUUAACUUUUGAACAAAAAAGUAUCAGAAAAAUUGUUUACACAUAAAUAUACAUUGCACAGUAGUCCUUUACAAAUAUAAAUUACAACAUUGCACAUGUGAAAGCUCUUUGCUAUAGUAUAUUUUGAUUUCAUAUCAUUAGGUUCUUUGCAUGUAAUGAUAAUAAAAUAUGUUACAAAAACAUGACUGUAUUAAGACAAAUACAUUGUAUUUAUAUGUUAUGGAGUUAAUCAAGUUGCAAAUUUACACAAGUAAACAAUGAUUGUUUCUUGUACAUUACAUAAAACACCCUUCACCAUCUAUGUAUAUCAUUUUUGAAAAACAGAUAAUUUCAGAAAAUUACCUUAAUUGAAAAUAGUUUUCAAUAUGCACCCUUAUAAGAAACUGUAAAAACCCUUAUAAACCAUUAUUAUGGAAUAUCCUAUUCAAACAUUUAAAAUAUAUCCUCUCUACUAAUAUUAUCUGAUUCAAGAAAGAUAACUAUGACUGUGAAGUUUAACUUUACAUUUUACUAGCCUGGUAUCCUGGUCUAAUCUCUGUAGUGUUAAUAGUAUUAGUAGAGCCAGGUGAGGAUGAUAUCAUUUUCAGCACUUAUCUGAACUGACGUUUUCUACUGUUAAGGGAGUGAGCUAGGAGACCCUAUCACUAAAGUGACUGAACCCCAAACUAAUGUUCACACAAACAAUUUUGUCUAGUAUUCUAAUGAUGUUUUUUUUAGCCAGAAAGUAAAUAGAACAUCUUAAAUUUUAAGAUAUAUAACUUGUUAAAAAAAAUCCAUAGCAAAAGGAAAUACAAAAGUUCUUUUCCCCUUCUUUUAUACCAACAAAAAUGUGAAUGACAAAAAAGCAUUUUAAUAACAACACAUAUAUAUAAGUAUAUAUUAAUUUUCAUUUA
rnacentral:lncRNA from 1 species